rnacentral:rRNA from 1 species
UACGGAGGGUGCAAGCGUUAUCCGGAAUUACUGGGCGUAAAGGGCGCGUAGGCGGCCAACUAAGUCAGACGUGAAAUCCCUCGGCUCAACCGGGGAACUGCGUCUGAUACUGGAUGGCUUGAAUUCGGGAGAGGGAUGCGGAAUUCCAGGUGUAGCGGUGAAAUGCGUAGAUAUCUGGAGGAACACCGGUGGCGAAGGCGGCAUCCUGGACCGAGAUUGACGCUGAUGCGCGAAAGCCAGGGGAGCAAACGGG